UCCCUGCCAGCUUUCCUGCCAGAGCAGGAAGGAGUGCAGUGCAGGCUGGCUGUUUGAGCCUGGGAUCGCCAGCAAAUCUGGCAGCCCUCAGAGCUGAUAGGCAGUCCAUCUAGAGGUAAUCCCAGCACAGCGCCCCAGGCUGCCCCAAGGGUGAUCCAGGUGCAUUUUGGUGUAGGCUGCUUGUGGAGCGAUGCAGAGAUGUUCAGGCUGCAUUUGUUGUUAUUCUGAAGCCCAGCGAAGCAGCCCCGGUGAGGAGUGAUCCCUGGCUGUGGCAUGUUCCAGCAGACGUGGUGGAAUGUGACAGCGAGGCACACACGCUGCCUGAGCCUCCCUGGGAGAUGGGAGCAGCACUCAUGCUCGCUUGCUGUCCUCGCUGCCUGCAGUCACCCUGCACAGGAGGAGCCCGGAGGUCAUUCCUGUCCCCACAGCAGCAGACAUCACCCGUUGAUGCUGCUCCCAGGUCUCUGGUAACAGAAGGAAUGACACAUGACAGAUUUGCAUCCUUAAAGAUCCUCGCUGAUGGCUGAACUGCUUUGCAUAUAAACGAGACCUAACUUUAACGGCUCAGCUGGUGAAUGUGAAGGGUUUACAGUGCUGGAUCAGGUCUCCAUUCACCACCAACCUCAGGGAACUCUGCUCAUGUAUUGCACAGAUCAGGGAGGUGAUGCUGUUUCUAAGAGACAAGCUGCAGCACACAGGACCCAGCCAGCCUGCCUCCAUCCUACCCAGGACAGCCAGGUUUUGACUGCUAGUGUUCCGUGGCCCUAUGGAUUUGCCAGCUCAUACACAGCUCUGAAAAUGCAUGCACAUCUUCUAUGGACCGUACAGCACCAGACUGGUUGCAUGGAGGGUGAUACUGACAGUGCAGAAGAGGUCUGUCCUGCAUCUUAAGACACUGCCUGUGAUACCUCUGCAGGGCUCUUCUUCCACCUCCACGACCUGUUUGUCUCCAAAUUGCCAAGGGUCAGAGAAAGGCAGCAGAAAGCCAGAUGAGUCUGGCUGAUCUCUGUCACUCCAGUGCCUGUCAGUAUUGGUCCGUGGGUAGUCUUCCAUGGAGAUGUUUGUCCUUGUAUUCCUUUUCACUGGGCCCCUCUGUCUGGUUGACACAUUUCUUCUUGAAGUGGGCUCUUUCUGCCCUGCCUUUGCCAAUGUGCUUUGUUGAGUAAGUGGAAGAAACUGUGAUGAGGGCUUGCUGACCCCAGCCUCACUCGAGCUGUAUGGGAAGGCCCCUUAGGAAAAGGUUUUUUGUGAUAUUUUCAGCUUAACAUUCCAAAUCCUCAAAGGCCUGGAAAAGACUGGUUGGCAGCCAAGCCUUGAGUGUCUAUUAAUCUGCCUGUAUCCUCCGUGUAGGUUUCCCUGUCCAUGGAACAAACCACAAGGGCAUUGUUAAUGAUGUUGCAGGGAUAAGAGAAGUUCUCAACCAAGAGGGAGAUCUCAGGAGCCUUGAAACAGUAUGAAUCCUUGUCUAAAGCAUGAGGAAAGCCUGUUUCUCUAAAGCAGAUGUGGCUGUGUCCUGAAAUCCAAGGACUAGAAAAAUACCUGCGUUCUGUUUAAUCUCUAAGGCAUCACAGAUUCAGAAAAAUACUUAGAGGUCUUCCAAGAAAGCAUUUGUGAAUUUGGGUGUGCAAGCCUGUAAAAGUGUUUAGUUGUCUAGCAAUGGUAGCAUAUGCAGAUAAAGCAUCUUUAUCUUGAAGGGCUGCUUUAACAGUUGUUAUUCCUCCACUGAAGCUGGAAGAAAAGGGAAUGAGUGCUGUGAUCCUAUCAGCUGUGAGAUAAGUAUCUGAUGACACAAAGGCUCUGGGGUGACAUCCUGCACCUGACAACUCUGCAGCAGGUGUUAAGUGCAGAGCUACUGAUGGUAAAAUGCUUCUGAUGCUGCUUAUUGUGAAGGCAGAACCCAACCCAAAACAUCCUCCUUUCUUGAGUUGGGUUUGUUUCAGCUCUUGGUGAUUUCUUAGGUAGCUUGUUAAUUUUGGGGGUUGUGCUGUGACCCUGCAGCAGCAUCAGAGAGAGUUACAGUCUGCAGCAAACAAGCCAUUUUGGCCUUUCAGAGAGGGUAAUGACACUUUGAGAUCCCUCAGUUGUAUUUUUCUCGUUGGCAAAUAAUCAGACCGGGUAUUUCUUUUUUAAUUUAUUUUAAUUAAAAAUACAGGUCUGCAUGC
rnacentral:lncRNA from 7 species